CCAGCAUUAAUGAACCCUAAGUCACUUUUGAAAAUGAAAUUAGGCUCAUAAAUUAGUUAGGCAUUGCAAUGCUGAGCGCAGGAACACCUAAAUAGUUUUAAAAAUCUGGGCUUAAGUGCUUUGUGUCAUAAAGACCAGAACGUUUAAGUAUCUUGCAGGACGAAGCCCUAAGGGAGAAAAGACUCUUAAACUAGCACUUUGUGCAAAGUGCUAUUUAAAUACUCUCUCUGAACCAUCUUGUAAGGUAGGUAACAGUAUUUUCUCAGUUGUCUGGGAGGAGAAACUGAGACAGAAAGGUUAGUGACUUUCUUGAGGGCACUUAUAGUCCCAGCACCUAACAUGAACUCUAUAAAUCUAGUUUUCCAUCCCCCUCUUCUAUGCUCAGAUGCAUUUCUCUUUGGCAUAGCUAUUCUUAUUUACAAUUACCAAGAUUAAAGUACUCUGCAAAAUCUGAUCACAAAUAAUUUGCCUGUAUUAACACUUAUAUAGUACAAAAUAACUGAGUGAGCACUCAUGUUUAUCUGAUGAAUUAACUAUCCUAAAGUUCCUUGAGGACAAAGUAAAACAGUAUUCUGAUUUUGUAAUGUAACAAGAUUUAAAAGGACAUUGAUAGAUUUAUGAAAACUAAAAUAUUUUAAAAAUCUUACUUUUUCCGUUGAUGUUGCUUUUAAUGCUUCAUUCCUCUCGGACAAAGAAAACAGACUAGUUACUUCCAUUUUCUGGUGAAGAUUACCAGCUGAUUAAAUGAAUGUCAGUCACUUGUUUUGUUACAUACUUUUUAAGUUAGGUUUUUUUAAUCAGCUCUUACCAUUGUCCAAAGAAGGACGUUUGUGACCACUUUCAUCUGUAGGAGUGUGGACAUUUACUAGAAUUUAUGUUCCUUUGGAGUAGACUAGUUUCCUUUUCUGGUUUUCAUGCAUUAGCACAUGUUUCGGUUACAAGCUGUUAAGAAAAGUAUUUCAACUUUACACAGAAAUGUUUUCAUUUUUAAAUCAAGUUUUUGAAAUGGUUGUGAAAACACUUUUUAGUAUUAGAUUUUUGUGAAACAUUGGAGCUAAACAACCUUAUAACAUUCUUUAAAAUACUUCAUUUGAAAGCUUCCAUUUAUAAGGUUUCUUUAGGCACUUAUCAGUUAACUUUUUUUUUUCUUUUCUAAAUCUCACUUGGUUUCUCUCUCUGGUCACACAUGGCCCAACCAUUC